UGGGGAAUAUUGGACAAUGGGCGCAAGCCUGAUCCAGCCAUGCCGCGUGAGUGAUGAAGGCCUUAGGGUUGUAAAGCUCUUUCGCACGCGACGAUGAUGACGGGUAGCGUGAGAAGAAGCCCCGGCUAACUUCGUGCCAGCAGCCGCGGUAAUACGAAGGGGGGCUAGCGUUGUUCGGAACUACUGGGCGUAAAGGGCGCGUAGGCGGCCUGUUUAGUCAGAAGUGAAAGCCCCGGGCUCAACCUGGGAAUAGCUUUUGAUACUGGCAGGCUUGAGUUCCGGAGAGGAUGGUGGAAUUCCCAGUGUAGAGGUGAAAUUCGUAGAUAUUGGGAAGAACACCGGUGGCGAAGGCGGCCAUCUGGACGGACACUGACGCUGAGGCGCGAAAGCGUGGGGAGCAAACAGAUUAGAUACCCUGG
rnacentral:rRNA from 1 species